GCCUCGAUGGUCUAAUGGCUAUGACACUAGCCUGUCGCGCUGGAUAUCCGAGUUCGAUUCUCGGUCGGGGCG
rnacentral:tRNA from 1 species